UGGUGAUGAUGAUGAUGAUGAUAAGGAUGAUGAUGAUGAUGAUGAUGAUGAUGAUGAGGUUCACAACAAUGUUGUUAUUGAUAAUCAUAAUGAUAAUUAUCGUCGUCAUCGUCAUCAUUAUCAUCAUCACCAUCG
rnacentral:pre_miRNA from 1 species